AUUUAAUAUGAAUUAAUGUUGUAAAGUCUUAUAAACACUCGAUGCUCGCUUAGAAAUAAGUAAACAAACCAACACGUGUUUUUUUAUAAGUUAUCUGUUCUUGUUUUUCGUAGGCGUUCAACAUAGGAGAUCAAAGAUAUUUGAGUUAUCUUUUCUUGAUUUCGUGACAUCACGACGAGAUUCAAUAUGGCCGAAUAAAAUAGGGGGAGAAUAUAUACAAAUGGAAAUAAUUAGAUAAUAGUGUUUAGGAAAUGAAUAUUCAAACAUAAAUAGGUACAUCAUAUCCUAGAAAAAUAUCUAACAAAACGAACU
rnacentral:lncRNA from 1 species